UGCAGCUCCUCCUGUGACCAUCAUGUUACCAGGACCACCAGAUAUUGUGCUCAUCAUAGGUCUUAUGCCUUGCAUACUUUGCAUGCCUAUUGGCACACCUUGCAUUCCCUAAGGACACCAGAAAUCCGAUUGAAAAUUAAUUAAUAACGACAUCAAUUAUAUAUGCAAUAAAAUAUAUGUAUAUAUAUACAUAUAUUUUUUACAUAUAUAUAUGUAAAAUAAAAUCUACAAAUCAAGCAAUACAUUUGUUCCAUUACAAUUUUUUAACAAUUCAACUUACCAAUGAUGUAGGAUGAGGAGGAAAGCCCAGAGUUGUUGAAGGAAGUUGCGUCAUUCCUUGUCCCUGUAACAACAGGUAGCAUGCCAUAUGCCAUACAUGCAUUGUACAGCUAAGUGUAUGAAUCAAUAAUCAUGUUCACUAUAUUUUAAUAUCUAUUUUUUUUAUACUAACAUUAUAAUAAUUGUUUACAAUUUAUUUUAAUUUAAAAAUAAUUUAGAAUUUGUAAUUUAUAUUUUAAAAAGUUAGCAUCUAUUUAUUAAUGUUUAUUUAUAUUAUGAUAAUGAUAUUUGAAUAUAAAAUAUCUUACAAUCAAACAUGUAAUAUGAAAACAGAAUAUAGUACAUAUAGAAAAAGAAUAAGUGUUUAUCAGUAUUGUUAGAUAAAAAUAAGUGUAUAAUUAUUGUUUAUAUAUAAGCUUAUUGAACGAUAAAGCAAGCGUGCGACGACUAUAAUCAAAGAUCAUAAGUGUUGGAAAUUAUUAAUAUUUUGUUUUGUACUUAUAAAAAUACUUAUAAAAAACUUAUAAAAAUAUAAUAUUAAUUACGAUUAUAUUGCAAAAUAGAAAUUAUUUAUAAUCCGCUAACAAUUAAAAAUAGCAUGCUGAUAAUAGUUCGAUAUCAAAAUAAAUAAGAAUAUUAUGUUAUAAUACUAAGAGUCAUAAUAGUCUGAUGGCAAAAAUAUCAUGUUCAACCACGUGCUGAUAAUGACCUUAUAGUUUAAAAGUUGAUCAAUCGUUGAACUUACCAUUGGACGAUAUCCAGCGCCAGUUGUAGCUGCCAUAGGUUGCGGUGUCCAUCCUCCAGCUGAGCCACCAGUUUUGGCAGCAUUUUUAGGUGAAUUCCAUUGCAUACCUCUAAAAAGAAAUAAAAGAAAUCAUCAUUAUAUAAGUAAAAACCAAAAUUUAAUGUUCCAUGUUCAAAGAAAAGUAACAAUAAAAUAUUAUAAUAAUAAAAAAUAAUCGUGAUCUUACUUGACUUGUUGCUGAGCACUUUUGUUGAUGGUCAAAUUUUGAGCAAGGCUAGCAAGACUGCUGUCCAAAUCUCCAGUCAGAACUUUACCAGUAGACGCUGCAUUCUGUUGUUGUCCUGUUACUGAAAUAUCAUUAUCUCCAGCUACAGUGGUAGGUAUUAGAACUAUACUCAAAACAUCAAAACCUAAGUAACAUCUAGAUCAGCCAAAGCUCCAAAAAGCAUAACUCAAAAUUACGCGUUUUUAUUGCAUUAAACGACACAAAUAAGAAAUGUAUUUCUAGACAUAGAAAAAAGGAUAAUUUCAAUAAAAAUAAUAACAUACAAUUAUCUAUGAUUACUCGAAAUAAAUAUAUAUUGAAUAAA